CAUAUAACUGUCAUUGUCAGUGAAAGCUAAAUCUUUUACAGUGGGAGCACAAUUAUCAUAUUUCCUAAUUUUAAUUAUUAAAUAUUAAUUUGAUUCCGGCAAGUUGAAGGAGAAAAAUGGACGACGAUCUACCGACCGACUUCCAGGUCAUCGUCGUUGGAACGGGUCUGGUCGAGUCUAUAGUAGCUGCAGCGUGCAGUCGAAUACGGAAGAAUGUUCUCCAUCUGGACUCCAGAGAUCACUACGGAGGCUUGUGGGCUUCACAUAAUUUUGAAGGCCUUCAGAAGUUCAUCAAAGAAAUCACCACAGAUCCCAGUAGACAACUCCAAGUGUACAAUUUAAUUGAAAAGUGGUAUAUACCCAAAGAAUCCCAAGAAGUGAAACAAGAGGGAGAAGAUGGCAAGACUGAAGACGGGAAGGAAGCUAAGAAGGUGUGGAGCCAGGCAGACUUCGCCUCUGAAUACAGAAAGUUCAAUAUUGACAUGACACCAAAGCUGUUGUUCGCGCGGGGGCCACUAGUCGAGCUGUUGAUCUCCUCGAACAUCGCCCGCUACGCGGAGUUCCGCUGCGUGACGCGGGUACUGACGUGGAUGAGCGACAAGCUGAUGCCGGUGCCGUGCUCGCGCGCCGACGUGUUCGCAACCGAGGCGGUCAGCAUCGUUGAGAAGCGAAUGCUCAUGAAAAUGCUCACUUCCAUCGUUGGUUACAAUGAAGAAGAAAUGGAUAACGAAUUUAAGGAUUGGACCGACAAAACGUUCCAAGAAUAUUUGACGCACAAAGGCCUGACUCCGAAUCUGAUCCACUACGUGUUGUACGCUAUCGCGGGUGGAACCAACGCCAUGCCGUGCUUGGAGGGCGUGCGCGAGUGCAAGAAGUUCCUCAUGAGCCUCGGCCGCUAUGGGAACACGCCGUUCUUGUGGCCCAUGUACGGUAGCGGGGAGCUGCCGCAAUGCUUCUGCCGAUUGUGCGCAGUGUUCGGCGGCGUGUACUGCCUCAACCGGCCGAUAGACACUGUCGAGAACAAGACCGUCGACGACAAGAAGGUCGUGGUCAUCGAGAGCAAGUCCAAGACGCUGACCUGCGACCACCUGGUGCUUGGCAUCAACGAGGGGCCCAAAGACCUCCUGUCCCAGGAGCAUUCGGACAGUUCGGAUAUAUCCAGGGCCGUAUUCAUAACGAACGGCACGAUUAUGUCCAGUGAGAAGGAGCCGCUGACUUUGCUGAGGUUCCCUCCGUUGAAUGAGGACAACAAUGCUACCACUGUGUUGGAGGUUGGCCCCGCCACUGGAUCGUGCCCUAAGGGGUUGUUUGUGGUGUACUUCAUAACGAACAAAGUGGUAGACGCCGAGACGGACCUCAUGCCAUACGCCCAGAAGAUCUUCGACAUGUCGGGCGGAGAGCAGACUGAGGCUUCUGACAAACCCAAGUGCCUUUGGUCGCUGUUCUACAACGUGAAGGACACGAGCGCGACGGUGCGCGACGGCGUGGAGGGAGUGCACGUGUGCGCUGGACCCGACGCCGGCCUGGACUUCGACCGCGCCGUGCACCAGGUGUGUUUGAGUGUUGUCGCAGUGCUUGUGCUCGCUGCUCUACAACGUGAAGGACACGAGCGCGACGGUGCGCGACGGCGUGGAGGGAGUGCACGUGUGCGCUGGACCCGACGCCGGCCUGGACUUCGACCGCGCCGUGCACCAGGUGUGUUUGAGUGUUGUCGCAGUGCCUGUGCUCGCUGCUCUACAACGUGAAGGACACGAGCGCGACGGUGCGCGACGGCGUGGAGGGAGUGCACGUGUGCGCUGGACCCGACGCCGGCCUGGACUUCGACCGCGCCGUGCACCAGGUGUGUUUGAGUGUUGUCGCAGUGCCUGUGCUCGCUGCUCUACAACGUGAAGGACACGAGCGCGACGGUGCGUGACGGCGUGGAGGGAGUGCACGUGUGCGCUGGACCCGACGCCGGCCUGGACUUCGACCGCGCCGUGCACCAGGUGUGUUUGAGUGUUGUCGCAGUGCCUGUGCUCGCUGCUCUACAACGUGAAGGACACGAGCGCGACGGUGCGCGACGGCGUGGAGGGAGUGCACGUGUGCGCUGGACCCGACGCCGGCCUGGACUUCGACCGCGCCGUGCACCAGGUGUGUUUGAGUGUUGUCGCAGUGCCUGUGCUCGCUGCUCUACAACGUGAAGGACACGAGCGCGACGGUGCGCGACGGCGUGGAGGGAGUGCACGUGUGCGCUGGACCCGACGCCGGCCUGGACUUCGACCGCGCCGUGCACCAGGUGUGUUUGAGUGUUGUCGCAGUGCCUGUGCUCGCUGCUCUACAACGUGAAGGACACGAGCGCGACGGUGCGCGACGGCGUGGAGGGAGUGCACGUGUGCGCUGGACCCGACGCCGGCCUGGACUUCGACCGCGCCGUGCACCAGGUGUGUUUGAGUGUUGUCGCAGUGCCUGUGCUCGCUGCUCUACAACGUGAAGGACACGAGCGCGACGGUGCGCGACGGCGUGGAGGGAGUGCACGUGUGCGCUGGACCCGACGCCGGCCUGGACUUCGACCGCGCCGUGCACCAGGUGUGUUUGAGUGUUGUCGCAGUGCCUGUGCUCGCUGCUCUACAACGUGAAGGACACGAGCGCGACGGUGCGCGACGGCGUGGAGGGAGUGCACGUGUGCGCUGGACCCGACGCCGGCCUGGACUUCGACCGCGCCGUGCACCAGGCGGAAGAAAUCUUCAAGAAGAUCUGCCCCGGCGAGGAGUUCCUCCCGCGAGCACCGGACCCCGAGGAGAUCGUGUUCGAGGACGACGUCACCCACGGGCCGGAGUUCCAGGGUGAACAGGAGGACGCCGAUGGAGACAAGGAGUGAAGGCUUUAGGGUUAGCGUUUUUAAUCACAGCACUGUCUCGUGUGUUGCAGAAAUUCUAGCACCAAAUAUAUAGGACCACAUAUGCUCAUAUUAAGACAUCGCAUGUUGGUUCAAACUCGAUAUUUUUCCUGUCGAAAUAAUAGAAUAUUUUCUUAGACUCAUAACUUCAUCGAUAGUCGUCUGUAGUAGGCCUAACAAGCGUGAACGACAUAAUCUAGUGAUGUGAAAAAGACAAAUGUCGACCGAAGUAAAUACGCGCAAAGUUGAAAACGCAAAAAACUUAUUUAUUUCAGUAAUAUAGUAUUGCAAAUGAAAAUUGAUUGAGACGUAGGCAUUUAGACAUGGGUUCUUUCAGGUCAGACUAUAAUCAUUAUCAUUGGGUUUUAGUCGAGACUUGUCGUGAAAUCUUCAUAAUCGAGUUUGUCGAUAUCGAAAGUUCAUCGUCACUAGAUGACUAGAUGAUGUUUUUAUAGACUCCGCGCCUAUUUCAUCAAAAUCUUGGAGGCUAGAAGCUAUUUCAUAAUGAAUUGUACUUUGUUGGUGGAACUACAGCUUUUUAAAUAUUUUUAGGGGAAAAUUAACGAAUUUUUAACUUCCAAACAUUAUCUAUCACUUAAGUAGAGCAGUAGAUUAUUUGCAGUUAUUAUAACAUAUCAGAUUUCGCUAGCGUUACCGUUAACCAUAGACUAAGGCAUUUGUAGAAGUUACACCAACAGUAAUUAUUCUUCCGAUUGAUCUCCUGUGGACACACAAGAUUGUGCUGUUUAAAUGUUAAGAUAUAAUCCCAGUAAGAUUUAUACGCUUUUUGGCUUGACUUUAUGCAUUCCGACUGGUGCGUUUGGGAUGCAGUCGGAUUAUAAGUACGCGCGUUAUCGACUGAGUCGCGAGGAACAUCAAUCAUUUCAUUAGGUCUAUCUAUUCGACUAUUUAUGGUCUCACGAUUCAGUUGAUGGCGCGUUUAGAAGAUUUUGGAACGAAAAUUAUUUUUUUAUAAUUCGAUUUUUUAUACAGCGAAAGUGAUUUAAUAUAGGUAAGAUGUAUUUGUUUUAUGUAUAUUUUUUACGUCGGUCAAUUGUAUUAUUGUAUACUAGCUAGGUUUUCUUGACAGGUUUAGCAAGAACAACUCUGAGCAAGAAACGAUCUAUAUGGAACUGUCAAGAGUUAUUUUUUUGCAUUGUUUUUAUAUUUUGAUAAUGCUCUCUAAUUAUGUGUAAAUUAGAAUUAUUUAUUAAUUUUAUUGUUUUGUAUAAACUAAGAGUUUAAAGAGCAAAUAAAAAUUGGUAUUGUUAUGAAUUAUUGAGUGAGCUAGGAAAGUAGGCCCUUUUUACACAGAGAUACAAAACGAAUAGCUUUCUAGCAGUAUAACCAAUAAAUUUGACCCAUAUAUAUCAAACUUUGACUUACAUUUUUCGUAUGCUAAUAAAAUGAUCCCUUGCACGAAAUUUCUAAGCUCAAAUAUUUCGACAAAGACUAUGGAAACACCUUUAUAUAAAUUUAAAUAUUAACUUAAACUACUUUGACUUUACCUACUUAUUUAAUUUUACAUAAAGUACUAAUCCUUAUGUAAAAAACCCUAAAAAUGACAAUUUAUAGAUGAUUCUGAAUUAGAAUCUUUGCAUUCGACCAAUUAAGUAUGUAGGUAUUUAAUCUAUGUCAGUUUUUUAUCUUGACUUUUUUUGUGUUGUGUAAUGAUCUUGUUUUUGUUGUGUAAUGAUUAGGAGUUUUACAUUAACAAUAACAAUGAGGCAAAUGUCUAUGAUAAUGAGGAAGAGGACAUAUAUAUUUUUCCUUUUUAAAAAAUCAAGUGAUGUCAAUACAAAGUCAGUAUUUCUGUGUGCGAAGGGCCUUAGAAGACAGCGCACCAGUCUUAGGAAUAGACAUAGCACAUUAGUUUUUUUAUUAUAAUUAAGUUAUUUUAGCACUCAUAUUUAUUGUCAAAUCGGAUAUGCAUAAAAGUGCAUGUGCAGCUUGGUGCAUAUUAUAAUUCCAUUAAAUUGUGAUUAUUAGUAAAA